rnacentral:rRNA from 1 species
GAUGAACGCUGGCGGCGUGCCUAAUACAUGCAAGUCGAGCGAAUGGAUUAAGAGCUUGCUCUUAUGAAGUUAGCGGCGGACGGGUGAGUAACACGUGGGUAACCUGCCCAUAAGACUGGGAUAACUCCGGGAAACCGGGGCUAAUACCGGAUAACAUUUUGAACCGCAUGGUUCGAAAUUGAAAGGCGGCUUCGGCUGUCACUUAUGGAUGGACCCGCGUCGCAUUAGCUAGUUGGUGAGGUAACGGCUCACCAAGGCAACGAUGCGUAGCCGACCUGACAGGGUGAUCGGCCACACUGGGACUGAGACACCGCCCAGACUCCUACGGGAAGCAGCAGUAGGGAAUCUUCCGCAAUGGACGAAAGUCUGACGGAGCAACGCCGCGUGAGUGAUGAAGUCUUUCGGGUCGUAAAACUCUGUUGUUAGGGAAGAACAAGUGCUAGUUGAAUAAGCUGGCACGUUGACGGUACCUAACCAGAAAGCCACGGCUAACUACGUGCCAGCCGCCGCGGUAA